AAAAAUGGACCCAAAGGCAGUAUUUGGUAUUUCCAUAUUUUAACUUAAUAGGGAAUAAUACAAGAAUUGACAUUU
rnacentral:tmRNA from 1 species